rnacentral:rRNA from 1 species
GACGAACGCUGGCGGCGUGCCUAAUACAUGCAAGUAGAACGCUGAAGGAGGAGCUUGCUCUUCUGGAUGAGUUGCGAACGGGUGAGUAACGCGUAGGUAACCUGCCUGGUAGCGGGGGAUAACUAUUGGAAACGAUAGCUAAUACCGCAUAACAGUAGAUGUUGCAUGACAUUUGCUUAAAAGGUGCAAUUGCACCACUACCAGUUGGACCUGCGUUGUAUUAGCUAGUUGGUGGGGUAACGGCUCACCAAGGCGACGAUACAUAGCCGACCUGAGAGGGUGAUCGGCCACACUGGGACUGAGACACGGCCCAGACUCCUACGGGAGGCAGCAGUAGGGAAUCUUCGGCAAUGGACGGAAGUCUGACCGAGCAACGCCGCGUGAGUGAAGAAGGUUUUCGGAUCGUAAAGCUCUGUUGUAAGAGAAGAACGAGUGUGAGAGUGGAAAGUUCACACUGUGACGGUAUCUUACCAGAAAGGGACGGCUAACUACGUG